UGAAUUGACGGGGGCCCGCACAAGCGGUGGAGCAUGUGGUUUAAUUCGAUGCAACGCGAAGAACCUUACCUGGUCUUGACAUCCACAGAACUUUCCAGAGAUGGAUUGGUGCCUUCGGGAACUGUGAGACAGGUGCUGCAUGGCUGUCGUCAGCUCGUGUUGUGAAAUGUUGGGUUAAGUCCCGCAACGAGCGCAACCCUUAUCCUUUGUUGCCAGCGGUCCGGCCGGGAACUCAAAGGAGACUGCCAGUGAUAAACUGGAGGAAGGUGGGGAUGACGUCAAGUCAUCAUGGCCCUUACGACCAGGGCUACACACGUGCUACAAUGGCGCAUACAAAGAGAAGCGACCUCGCGAGAGCAAGCGGACCUCAUAAAGUGCGUCGUAGUCCGGAUUGGAGUCUGCAACUCGACUCCAUGAAGUCGGAAUCGCUAGUAAUCGUGGAUCAGAAUGCCACGGUGAAUACGUUCCCGGGCCUUGUACACACC
rnacentral:rRNA from 1 species